rnacentral:rRNA from 1 species
GACGAACGCUGGCGGCGUGCCUAAUACAUGCAAGUAGAACGCUGAAGGAGGAGCUUGCUUCUCUGGAUGAGUUGCGAACGGGUGAGUAACGCGUAGGUAACCUGCCUGGUAGCGGGGGAUAACUAUUGGAAACGAUAGCUAAUACCGCAUAAGAGUAGAUGUUGCAUGACAUUUGCUUAAAAGGUGCAAUUGCAUCACUACCAGAUGGACCUGCGUUGUAUUAGCUAGUUGGUGGGGUAACGGCUUACCAAGGCGACGAUACAUAGCCGACCUGAGAGGGUGAUCGGCCACACUGGGACUGAGACACGGCCCAGACUCCUACGGGAGGCAGCAGUAGGGAAUCUUAGGCAAUGGACGGAAGUCUGACCGAGCAACGCCGCGUGAGUGAAGAAGGUUGUCGGAUCGUAAAGCUCUGUUGUAAGAGAAGAACGAGUGUGAGAGUGGAAAGUUCACACUGUGACGGUAUCUUACCAGAAAGGGACGGCUAACUACGUG